AAACUCAAAGGAAUUGACGGGGGCCCGCACAAGUGGUGGAGCAUGUGGUUUAAUUCGAUGCAACGCGAAGAACCUUACCUGGUCUUGACAUCCACAGAACUUUCCAGAGAUGGAUUGGUGCCUUCGGGAACUGUGAGACAGGUGCUGCAUGGCUGUCGUCAGCUCGUGUUGUGAAAUGUUGGGUUAAGUCCCGCAACGAGCGCAACCCUUAUCCUUUGUUGCCAGCGGUUCGGCCGGGAACUCAAAGGAGACUGCCAGUGAUAAACUGGAGGAAGGUGGGGAUGACGUCAAGUCAUCAUGGCCCUUACGACCAGGGCUACACACGUGCUACAAUGGCAUAUACAAAGAGAAGCGACCUCGCGAGAGCAAGCGGACCUCAUAAAGUAUGUCGUAGUCCGGAUUGGAGUCUGCAACUCGACUCCAUGAAGUCGGAAUCGCUAGUAAUCGUAGAUCAGAAUGCUACGGUGAAUACGUUCCCGGGCCUUGUACACACCGCCCGU
rnacentral:rRNA from 1 species